UACGGGGGGGGCAAGCGUUGUUCGGAAUUACUGGGCGUAAAGGGCUCGUAGGCGGCCAACUAAGUCAGACGUGAAAUCCCCAGGCUCAACCUGGGAACUGCGUCUGAUACUGGAUGGCUUGAAUUCGGGAGAGGGAUGCAGAAUUCCAGGUGUAGCGGUGAAAUGCGUAGAUGUCUGGAGGAAUACCGGUGGCGAAGGCGGCAUCCUGGACCGACAUUGACGCUGAGGAGCGAAAGCCAGGGGAGCAAACGGG
rnacentral:rRNA from 1 species